AUAAAGCCAGCUGACUCUCAUCUUAGACCACUUACAGCAAGAGAUAAGAAGGGAGCUCUACCGGCUAAUUGCCACUACAGGGGACAGUGAACCACACUCACUAGAUGUACAUCAAGUACAUCAAGUUUUCCCUCUGAAAUACAUACUGCAUUUCUUUUCUGAGACCAAUAUCAUAGUGUACUACAAACUUCCAAGUAAUUUUGCUACAUCUAGUUCUUUCAAAACCUCUCAUGGUGCUUAACUCUCCUAUGCCACCCAAACAAUAUGGCAUAUAUUCCAAACCUACAAUCAAACACACAAUUUGACCUGCUUCAAGCCAAACUCCAAAAGUGCUUAGUCACUUAUUUACAGGCCAUGUACAGGCCUGGCCGAAGUCAGUUCCCAAAGCAGUAAUUUAUUCUGCUUUGCUGUUGGUAUGGUUUGGAGAAUGGCUGCUGUACUUCUUAACCUCCUGCCUUUCAGAGAUAAAUGAAACAGAAAUGACUUUGUUAGCAUCACAUAAGGUAUUUCUAAUCUCGCAAACCAUAAGAACAUAUCGCAAAGGCUAAAAUGCCAUUCAAGCAUUAUCUGACUUGAUACAGAAAGUAUAAAAAUGUAGGUGAACUUGAAUAAAAUGUUCCAAGUUGUGUGCAGCACCAUUUUAACAGCAUGGUAAACAAGUUUAUCCAACAGGGAAACUUUGAAAGAAAGCAUUUCUCAAUUGAUUAAUGCAGCAUCAGCUCCUUCCACCAGUUCCUGCAAAGCAACCUUAAGUGCAAGUUUCCUCAUCAUUCACUUGAGUACAAUACUUAGGUUGGAUUUUUGCACAUAAUAUCCAUAGAGGUUUUCAAAUUAGUAAAAUAAGAUUAAUUUCUCAUUAAAAUAAAUCUUAAAAGCAACAUUUUCAAAAAGUUCCAAAUACGUAUUUACAAAAUGGACAAUAUGAAUUAAGGGGCUUGAUCUGAUGGUGUAAAUAAUAAAAUAGUAAAUCUCUCAAAUGGGUAUCAAUAAGUACUUAACAACAGUGUUUGUGUCCUUUCUGUGUUCUUUAUGACUAUGUCUACUCUGCUAUGUCAGCUGGCUCAGGCUAAAUGGUUCAGGCUAAUGGGGCGCCUCGCUGCAGUGUAAACAUGCAGGCCUGGGAUGGAGUCUGGGCUCAGCGACCCUCCCACUUUGCCCCUGUCUACACUGCAAUUAAAUAACCUCUUAGCUCCAGUCUGCUGGUAUGGGCCAGCUACAGAUUUAUAACUGGAAUGCAGACAUGCCCUCUUACUAUCCUAGCAAAUGAUUAGAGCAGGAGACAUUUUUUGUAAACAGCAUGUUUUGAACUCAUGUGAGUAUCUGCACUGUAAAUUAGGGCCUAAUCUUCCAACAGCAGGGCCCUACACAUCUAUGGUACCACACCUGGAAAUGCUGGGAUCUCACAUGAAGAAUGGCACUGAGUAAUACAUUUCUCUGCUACACCAUGCUGGGACAUUAGUUCAUUGUCUCAGGGGAAAGAAUGGAACUUAUUGAACACUGCUUCCUGCAGGCAUUUUAUUUCCUAAGUAUCCCUUUACAAAUCAGGACUGACUGUACUUAGUUUAUAUUUGAUAAGAUCAUACUCCAAUGAGCUCUGGCUCUGAGGGUAGAACAGGCUUAAUUUUUCCUGGCAAAAUAACUUACAUAUGUUGUAAUCAAGAUGAGUGCUACUGAUUUUUAAAGGAUAACUGAGUUCCUGAACAGCUCCCACACAGACAGCUCCUUUAUAUGGGACAACGGUCAAGCUAGUGUUAGGCUUUACAAAUAUAACAACCCCUUUAAAAUAUUUAAUUUCAUUUUGGCUUCUUGGGAGCACAGUGCAGUUAUUAGAACCCCACGUAAUUUAUUCAUUCUAGAAAUGUUCUGAAAAGUAACCCUUAUCAUGUUUUGUAAGAAUGUGAAUACAUACAUCAAAAAGUUUUAGACAACAUAUUUGUGUUCUGUUUUUAAAAUGGUUUGUAUCAAACAAGAAAUCUAUCGCAUACUUUCAACGAUGUGCCGACAUCUUCAGGUCUGACAACAGUGAAAAGAAGUAAACAUGUAUUUGUCACCAAAAGAAGCAGGUAUGACUGAAUAUAUGCAAGGAGCAGAUAUGUGGCAUAAAAGCUGUUUUUACAGAGAGUUGUCACAGUGGAAUGACACUUGAUUUUUUUGUAACAUUUCUUUGAAUACCUUCUGGCUUAUCUACAUAUUUGUAGUGUUGUGGUGCCCCCAAAUAACCUUAGUAGUCCAGGUGCAGUGUCACCAAUCACGUGGAGAAGGGACUAAUACCUUCCUUCUCCAUGACGUGCUGUCUUUGCGUGUACAGCCUAAAAUAGCAUUAGCUAUUUUGCUGCUGUAUCACAUUUCAAGUGCCUGGGUCUGAUUCUGCUCCCAAGAGAGUUUGGCAACUGACUUCAGUGGGCACACGAUCAUAUCUCAUAUCUAAUAUGCUGACUCCUGUCACUCCUAUUUUUCUUUGACACUACUACUGGUGGUCAAAUUUCUUUCUUCCAUUUUAAACAUUCAGGUUGAUGAUUUCAACCUAAUGUGUUAUCUCGAAUUUGUCUCAGAUACAGAUUAUUUAGAGCCAAAUUAUGAAUCCCUAACCUGUACUGGUGAGCAGUUACUCCUGAGAAUGGUAACACUGAUUUCUGUUUCCCAGUAAUUAUUUCCAGUCCACGUUUGUAACUUCAACUAACUCCUUUGCUUUUCUCUGUCAUCACUUGCACUUGCAUCACCUCAUUUUACUGUCACCAUCUGACAUAAUGUGUGUGCCUCUUUUACAUUUAAUGAAUGGAGACACUAACAAGGAUAUACCUCUACUUCCUGUGUCAUCUCUUCCCUGUAGGCUCUGAGGACAAACAAACAAACAAACACAAACAAACAAAAAAGUAAUAGUACAAUGACAGACAGUUUUUCCAUUCAUGUGCCAAUGCUCAUAUUUACACCAAUUCAAAUAUUUUUUUUCUAAAAAGAGAAUUAUAAAGUUAAUAGAUAAGUGAAUUCAGUAAUUGUAAUAUCUUGUUUUAGCAAAGCAUGGCUUUACAGUAGUUUCUUGUGAAGUCAUAUUUGACAGUUUCCAUAGCAUUGGUCUGGUAUGUCUUGUCCUUGAAAAAGCCAAGCUAUUUAUUGCUCAUGGUUCUGUUAACUACAGUAUUUUCCCCCUCGUAACAUGUGUUGUAUAACUCCAUCAAAGAUCUGGUUGAACUUGGGCAUUUUCAAUAGGGAUAUAAGCCUAGGUUUAUUGGUUAGUUGAGCAGACUAUUUGCAUUUCCUCCCCAUCCCUGCUGCCUCUAUCAGAGUUUGGGCCCACCCUGGCACCCCACAGGCAGGAGCUACUGCUGGAACAGCCUGUGCUUGUGGCCAGCUUGGGCCACCAUGGAACUACCCCAACUUAGGAUAGGCUUGCUCUUGAAGUGCAAAUUCUUGAUCUAGACUAGAGCUUCCGUCCCCACCAAGAGGUGAGACCUCAUGGUAUUGUUUUAAUCUAAUGAGAAACACAUGCAACUCAAUACAAAAAUAAUAAACCUUACACACAUUUCCCUGCCAUAGUUUCCUUAUUAUUCUAGAACAUUCUCUGGAGCCUUUCCUCCAGAUUCCAUAGUUUCCUCCCCAUUCUAGAACACCCUUCUGAUGAUACUCACGUCGAUCCCUGAACCAUGGAGCCUCUUCCCUUAGGUUAGCUUGUGUUCUCUGAUCUUGGUUGGUUCUGCAGCUAAAUCUAAUCCUCCUCUUUUGAAAGCAUUCCUAUUUCUUCUCAUCUCCUGCCAAAUUAUUUUGUCUCUCUCUCCAAAGUCUUCUCCUUAUGAGUCCUUUUAAAAACUCCUGCUUUAUUACGUCUGUCCCUUUGUUCUGUUUGAGAAUUUUCCACUUUUUCUACUUCCUCCUCUCUGCAGACAUGUUGGAUUAGUAAAUAUACAAACCAACCCUUGAGCAUCUCAUGUCAAUCCAUUUACCACACAGUCUUACAAAGCCAACAGAAAUUACCACAACCUUAGUAAUACUUCAGGUGACUAGAUUUAGGCCAGAAUUACAACAAACUAUGGAUCGUUGAUAUCCCAUGUGCAGCCAUAUAUGCCUUGCUGACAGACUACUUGCUUAUCACACAUACAGCUCUAGCCAAGAAGAGGUAAUACCAAAUAGGACUCAGCGGAGAUGCUGUCGUAUAAACCUAAUAGGCUCGGGCAACUGAGAAGGUGCUAUGGAGACAAUGGCGACUUUGUUUUCUUUUAAGCACGCAUAACCCCAGAAUUAUUUUGAAUAA